rnacentral:rRNA from 1 species
UCAGAACGAACGCUGGCGGCAGGCCUAACACAUGCAAGUCGAGCGCUACCUUCGGGUGGAGCGGCGGACGGGUUAGUAACGCGUGGGAACGUACCCAGAUCUAAGGAAUAGCCACUGGAAACGGUGAGUAAUACCUUAUACGCCCUUCGGGGGAAAGAUUUAUCGGAUUUGGAUCGGCCCGCGUUAGAUUAGAUAGUUGGUGGGGUAAUGGCCUACCAAGUCUACGAUCUAUAGCUGGUUUUAGAGGAUGAUCAGCAACACUGGGACUGAGACACGGCCCAGACUCCUACGGGAGGCAGCAGUGGGGAAUCUUGGACAAUGGGCGCAAGCCUGAUCCAGCCAUGCCGCGUGAGUGAUGAAGGCCUUAGGGUCGUAAAGCUCUUUCGCCAGAGAUGAUAAUGACAGUAUCUGGUAAAGAAACCCCGGCUAACUCCGUGCCAGCAGCCGCGGUAAUACGGAGGGGGUUAGCGUUGUUCGGAAUUACUGGGCGUAAAGCGUACGUAGGCGGAUUAGUCAGUCAGAGGUGAAAUCCCAGGGCUCAACCCUGGAACUGCCUUUGAUACUGCUAGUCUUGAGUUCGAGAGAGGUGAGUGGAAUUCCAAGUGUAGAGGUGAAAUUCGUAGAUAUUUGGAGGAACACCAGUGGCGAAGGCGGCUCACUGGCUCGAUACUGACGCUGAGGUACGAAAGUGUGGGGAGCAAACAGGAUUAGAUACCCUGGUAGUCCACACCGUAAACGAUGAAUGCCAGUCGUCGGGCAGUAUACUGUUCGGUGAC